CAUCCGCCGCGGUAAUACGAAGGGUGCAAGCGUUACUCGGAAUUACUGGGCGUAAAGCGUGCGUAGGUGGUGGUUUAAGUCCGUUGUGAAAGCCCUGGGCUCAACCUGGGAAUUGCAGUGGAUACUGGGUCACUAGAGUGUGGUAGAGGAUAGUGGAAUUUCCGGUGUAGCAGUGAAAUGCGUAGAGAUCGGAAGGAACAUCUGUGGCGAAGGCGACUAUCUGGGCCAACACUGACACUGAGGCACGAAAGCGUGGGGAGCAAACAGGAUUAGAUACCCGUGUAGUCCCUGUCUCUUAUAC
rnacentral:rRNA from 1 species